UUUGAUCCUGGCUCAGGAUGAACGCUGGCGGCGUGCCUAAUACAUGCAAGUCGAGCGGAAAGGCCUCUUCGGAGGUACUCGAGCGGCGGACGGCAGAGUAACGCGUAGGAGCAUACCCCAAACUGAGGGAUAACUGCCCGAAAGGGUGGCUAAUACCGCAUGUGAUCUUCGGAUUAAAGCUUCGGCGGUUUGGGAAUGGCCUGCGUUCGAUUAGCUAGUUGGUGAGGUAAAAGGCUCACCAAGGCGACGAUCGAUAACUGGUCUGAGAGGAUGAUCAGUCUGACUGGAACUGAGACACGGUCCAGACUCCUACGGGAGGCAGCAGUAGGGAAUUUUCCACAAUGGGCGAAAGCCUGAUGGAGCAACGCCGCGUGCAGGAUGAAGGCCCUUGGGUCGUAAACUGCUUUUAUGUGAGAAGAAUAUGACGGUAACACAUGAAUAAGGGUCGGCUAACUACGUG
rnacentral:rRNA from 1 species